rnacentral:tRNA from 1 species
AAGGUAAUAGCUCAGUGGUAGAGCAUAUGCUUAGCACGCACGAGGUCCUGGGUUCAAUCCCCAGUCCCUCUA